rnacentral:rRNA from 1 species
UACGGAGGGGGCUAGCGUUGUUCGGAAUUACUGGGCGUAAAGCGCACGUAGGCGGCUUUGUAAGUUAGAGGUGAAAGCCCGGGGCUCAACCCCGGAAUUGCCUUUAAGACUGCAUCGCUUGAAUCCGGGAGAGGUGAGUGGAAUUCCGAGUGUAGAGGUGAAAUUCGUAGAUAUUCGGAAGAACACCAGUGGCGAAGGCGGCUCACCUGGACCGGUAUGACGCUGAGGUGCGAAAGCGUGGGGAGCAAACAGG